rnacentral:rRNA from 1 species
GACAGAGGGUGCAAACGUUGUUCGGAAUUACUGGGCGUAAAGCGCGUGUAGGCGGCCCGGAAAGUCGGAUGUGAAAGCCCUGGGCUUAACCCAGGAAGUGCAUUCGAAACUCCCAGGCUUGAGUUCUGGAGAGGAGGGCGGAAUUCUCGGUGUAGAGGUGAAAUUCGUAGAUAUCGAGAGGAACACCGGUGGCGAAGGCGGCCUUCUGGGACAGUGACUGACGCUGAGACGCGAAAGCGUGGGGAGCAAACAGG